CAGUUCCGUCACCUCCAACAAUUGCAGUGAAAUUUUCUCUUGUCACGGCAACAGUUCAUGCCCCAGUAACAGUCAUUUGGAUAACGUGCCAUACAUUUAUACCUGUCACGGGCCUUUUUAAUGGGUGUUCUAAAAGAUGUCCCAUCGCCUUUUUGAGUUUGUGUCUUGUGUGAAUCACCUCGACAUCAUCAUGCACUGGAGUGGAGAGCAAUGCAUGCACCAUAUCUUCAUUAAUGACAAAGAAAUCUCCGAGCAUCAUGAGUAAGUCAUUUUAAAACACCUUAAUGUUGUACUGUUUUAAUUAUGCAUAAUAUGUGCUGUAUUCAUGGAUGAAUAUCAUCAUGUGUAUAAAAUUUACUUUGCCACAAUCUAUGAUACCUUGAACUCAUGAUUAUACU